UACGGGGGGGGCAAGCGUUGUUCGGAAUUACUGGGCGUAAAGGGCUCGUAGGUGGCCAACUAGUCUAUACGUGAAAUCCCUCGGCUUAACCGGGGAACUGCGUCUGAUACUGGAUGGCUUGAGGUUGGGAGAGGGAUGCGGAAUUCCAGGUGUAGCGGUGAAAUGCGUAGAUAUCGAGAGGAACACCUGCGGCGAAGGCGGGUAGCUGGGCCGACACUGACGCUGAGGCGCGAAAGCCAGGGGAGCGAACGGG
rnacentral:rRNA from 1 species